GUCAGGUAGUAAGGGCGCAGGGCGGAUGCCUUGGCUCUGGGAAGCGAUGAAGGACGUGGCUAGCUGCGAUAAGCCUCGGGGAAGAGCAAACAUCUUUUGAUCCGGGGAUUUCCGAAUGGGGGAACCCGCAUGGCUGUUGAGGCCAUGCACUGUUGAGUGAAUACAUAGCUCAUCAGGGCGAACUCGGGGAACUGAAACAUCUCAGUACCCGAAGGAAUAGAAAUCAACCGAGAUUCUGCUAGUAGCGGCGAGCGAACGCGGAAGAGCCCAAACCAUCAGGUGCGCCUGAUGGGGUUGUAGGGCCGUCAAUAAAGGAUAAUUGGAGAAUUAGCUGAAGUGUCUGGGAAGGCACGGCACAGAGGGUUAGACCCCCGUAAGCGAAAGUUUGAAGAUGUCCGAGACGGUACCUGAGUAGGACGGGACACGAGAAAUCCCGUUUGAAUCUGGGGGGACCACCCUCCAAGGCUAAAUAUUACCCAGAGACCGAUAGUGAACCAGUACCGUGAGGGAAAGGUGAAAAGCACCUCGAAUAGAGGAGUGAAAUAGAUCCUGAAACCCUGUGUCUACAAGCAGUGGAAGCACUACUGAUCUUCGGAUCAUGUGCGACCGCGUGCCUUUUGCAUAAUGAGCCAACGAGUUGUCUGUCGGUGGCAGGUUAAGUUUUUAACGAAGCCACAGCGAAAGCGAGUCCGAAAUGGGCGUUAGUCAUCGGCAACAGACCCGAAACCGAGUGAUCUACCCCUGUCCAGGUUGAAGCCUGGGUAAGACCAGGUGGAAGACCGAACCGUUGAGCCUUAAAACGUUCUCGGAUGAGGUGGGGGUAGGAGUGAAAGGCUAAUCAAACUCGGAGAUAGCUGGUUCUCCCCGAAAUAUAUUGAGGUAUAGCCUCGUGAUAGACCGCCGGAGGUAGAGCACUGGAUGGACUAGGGCCCUCACCAGGGUACCAAACCCAACCAAACUGCGAAUACCGGCGAGUUGUUUCACGGGAGUCAGACAGCGGGAGCUAACUUUCGUUGUCGAGAGGGAAACAACCCAGACCAUCAGCUAAGGCCCCCAAGUCAUGACUAAGUGGGAAAGGAAGUGGGAGCGCCCAGACAACCAGGAGGUUGGCUUAGAAGCAGCCACCCUUUAAAGAAAGCGUAACAGCUCACUGGUCGAGCGAGCCUGCACCGAAAAUAUAACGGGGCUCAAGUCAUGCGCCGAAGCUAUGGGAUUUAUAUUUAUAUAAAUCGGUAGGGGAGCGUUCCCUGUGCGGCGAAGCUGAAUCGAGAGGGUCAGUGGAGCGCAGGGAAGUGAGGAUGUUGGCAUAAGUAACGAAAAUGCGAGCGAGAAACUCGCACGCCGAAAGCCCAAGGUUUCCCGGGCCAUGUUAUUCAGCCCGGGGUUAGUCGGCACCUAAGACGAGGCCGAAAGGCGUAGUCGAUGGAAAACCGGUUCAUAUUCCGGUACUUGCAUGUGCGCGUGAUGGAGGGACGCAGGAGGAUAGCCCGGCCAAGUGAUGGAUAUCUUGGUUCAAGGCCGUAGGCGGAAGUCUCAGGUAAAUCCGGGACUUCUAUAACGCCGAGAGUCGAUGACGAGAGGCUUUGCUUCGCAAAGCGGUCGAUUCCACACUGCCAAGAAAAGCUUCUAAGCAUAGCACAGGCAAACCGUACCCCAAACCGACACAGGUGGGCGGGUAGAGAAUACCAAGGCGCUUGAGGGAAAUCAUGUUAAGGAACUCUGCAAAAUAACUCCGUAACUUCGGAAGAAGGAGUGCCUGCGGUGGUGAAGGGACUUGCUCCCUGAGCUGCUGCGGGCCGCAGUGACCAGGCCCAGCCGACUGUUUAGCAAAAACACAGCACUCUGCUAAAUCGCAAGAUGAUGUAUAGGGUGUGACGCCUGCCCGGUGCCGGAAGGUUAAUGGGAGGGGUUAGUUCUUCGGAACGAAGCUCCGAACUGAAGCCCCGGUAAACGGCGGCCGUAACUAUAACGGUCCUAAGGUAGCGAAAUUCCUUGUCGGGUAAGUUCCGACCU
rnacentral:rRNA from 1 species